rnacentral:lncRNA from 1 species
UGGCUGUUGUGGAAUGGGAGCUGGCUGGGAGGGAGGGAGCAGCAUCAGCCUGAUGAGCUGCGCCCCUGUCCCAUAGGAACACCAGAAUAUCGCCCGCCGGAAUGGAUCCUCUUCGGCUGCUACCGUGGCCAGCCAGCCACCAUCUGGUCCCUGGGCAUCCUGCUCUAUAACCUGGUCUGCGGGCACCUUCCUUUCCACACCAAUGAGGACAUCAUCCGGGGCCAGCUCUUCUUCCCGCCCCAGGUGUCUCAAGGCUUCCUUGCUGAAUCUCACUGAAGGGGAUAUGAAGAAGGAGUCAUUGUGUCUCCCUCUGAUCCCCCCGAUACGCAGGGCAGUAAGUCCCGAUGUUGGCAGUGCUGCAGGAUCUCGGAAAAGCUCUCUGCAGCUGGAUGUGCAAGAGUCCCAGGAGAUGAGGCCCGGAUCCAGCAGCAGAAGCAAGGACAUGGAAUAUCAACAUACAGGACUUACUGGCUACCCUCUUGCCAAGAGGAUUUCUCUGGCAAAUCCUUCUGUGCUCCUGCCCUCCAAGCCAAUGCCCCUCAUCCCAAGGAGCUCUUCCAAGCCAAUGAAGAGUUGCAGUGGAGAGCACGUUACUGGGAAAAGUGGCACUGGCAAUGACGAUGACACCAGAAAAGAACAGGAGUCACGUUCAGAGGGAAAAGGACGUAAGGCUUCCUUGCUGUAUCCCACUGCAGGGGAUAAGAAGAAGGGGUCACUGGGACUGUCUUUGAUCCCCCAGUUACGCAGGGCAUUAAGCAGUGCUGCAGGAUCUCGGAAAAGCUCUCUGCAGCUGGAUGUGCAAGAGUCCCAGGAGAUGAGGUCCACGACCCAGCAGCAGAAGUGAAGAUGAUGAAUCUGAAGAAGGAGGACUUACUGGCUACCCUCUUGCCAAGAGGUUUUCUCUGGCAAAUCCUUCUGUGCUCCUGCCCUCCAAGCCAAUGCCCCUCAUCCCAAGGAGCUCUUCCAAGCCAAUGAAGAGCUGCAUCGGAGAGCACGUUACUGGGAAAAGUGGCACUGGCAAUGACAAUGACACCAGAAAAGAACAGGAGUCAUGUUCAGACGGAAAAGGACGUAAG